rnacentral:lncRNA from 1 species
GAAAAUGAAGAAACCUUCCAUGGCUUUUUAAAGUUUCGGCACUUCCAUAGCAAAAUUAAGAUCAAGAACGAAGAAAACGGAAUUGGAUCAGGGGAAAACGAAAGUAGUCGAGUAAUCGAUCGUGUCCGCCGAUAUCCGAGAUUUUGAGGUGGUUACGAGUUCGGGAUCGUCAGUAAAGUUUAUCACACUAUUGGAUAAUUACAAUCAAGAACGAAGAAAACGGAAUUGUAUCGGGGGAAAACGAAAGUAGUCGAGUAAUCGAUCGUGU